rnacentral:rRNA from 1 species
GACAGAGGUGCCAAGCGUUAGGCGGAAUCACUGGGCUUAAAGCGUGUGUAGGUGGAUUUGUAAGUACCUUGUGAAAUCCCAUGGCUCAACCAUGGAACUGCUCGGUAUACUGCGAAUCUUGAGCAACCUAGGGGCAAGUGGAACAAAUGGUGGAGCGGUGAAAUGCGUAGAUAUCAAGAGGAACACCUGAGGUGAAGACGGGUUGCUGGAGUCGAUGACUGACGCUGAAGCGCGAAAGCUAGGGUAGCAAACGGG